AUCUCUGGAGAACUCCUUAAGUGGAGUGCCGAAGGUGUAAGGAUUGAAAUAUUUCGCAGACAAUCCGAUCUCUCAGGCAAACGGACAGAGCA
rnacentral:ncRNA from 1 species